GAUGAACGCUGGCGGCGUGCUUAACACAUGCAAGUCGAACGGAGAUGUUUCGCUGAAGCGAGCUUGCUCAAUUCUUGAAACAUCUUAGUGGCGGACGGGUGAGUAACGCGUGGGUAACCUGCCAUAUACAGGGGGAUAACACUUAGAAAUAGGUGCUAAUACCGCAUAAGCGCACAGUUUCGCAUGAAACGGUGUGAAAAACUCCGGUGGUAUAUGAUGGACCCGCGUCUGAUUAGCUAGUUGGUAAGGUAACGGCUUACCAAGGCGACGAUCAGUAGCCGGCCUGAGAGGGUGAACGGCCACAUUGGGACUGAGACACGGCCCAAACUCCUACGGGAGGCAGCAGUGGGGGAUAUUGCGCAAUGGGGGCAACCCUGACGCAGCAACGCCGCGUGAAGGAUGAAGGUUUUCGGAUCGUAAACUUCUUUAAGUGUGGAAGAAAUUGACGGUACACACAGAAUAAGCCACGGCUAACUACGUG
rnacentral:rRNA from 1 species